CGGACCAAACUCCUACGGGAGGCAGCAGUGAGGAAUAUUGGUCAAUGGACGCAAGUCUGAACCAGCCAUGCCGCGUGCAGGAUGACGGCUCUAUGAGUUGUAAACUGCUUUUGUACGAGGGUAAACGCAGAUACGUGUAUCUGUCUGAAAGUAUCGUACGAAUAAGGAUCGGCUAACUCCGUGCCAGCAGCCGCGGUAAUACGGAGGAUUCAAGCGUUAUCCGGAUUUAUUGGGUUUAAAGGGUGCGUAGGCGGUUUGAUAAGUUAGAGGUGAAAUUUCGGGGCUCAACCCUGAACGUGCCUCUAAUACUGUUGAGCUAGAGAGUAGUUGCGGUAGGCGGAAUGUAUGGUGUAGCGGUGAAAUGCUUAGAGAUCAUACAGAACACCGAUUGCGAAGGCAGCUUACCAAACUAUAUCUGACGUUGAGGCACGAAAGCGUGGGGAGCAAACAGGAUUAGAUACCCUGGUAGUCCACGCAGUAAACGAUGAUAACUCGUUGUCGGCGAUACACAGUCGGUGACUAAGCGAAAGCGAUAAGUUAUCCACCUGGGGAGUACGUUCGCAAGAAUGAAACUCAAAGGAAUUGACGGGGGCCCGCACAAGCGGAGGAACAUGUGGUUUAAUUCGAUGAUACGCGAGGAACCUUACCCGGGCUUGAAAGUUACUGACGAUUCUGGAAACAGGAUUUCCCUUCGGGGCAGGAAACUAGGUGCUGCAUGGUUGUCGUCAGCUCGUGCCGUGAGGUGUCGGGUUAAGUCCCAUAACGAGCGCAACCCCUACCGUUAGUUGCCAUCAGGUCAAGCUGGGCACUCUGGCGGGACUGCCGGUGUAAGCCGAGAGGAAGGUGGGGAUGACGUCAAAUCAGCACGGCCCUUACGUCCGGGGCUACACACGUGUUACAAUGGCAUGUACAGAAAGCGGGGUGUAUGCAAAUACGCUCGAAUCCCUAAAACAUGUCUCAGUUCGGACUGGGGUCUGCAACCCGACCCCACGAAGCUGGAUUCGCUAGUAAUCGCGCAUCAGCCAUGGCGCGGUGAAUACGUUCCCGGGCCUUGUACACACCGCCCGUCAAGCCAUGGGAGCCGGGGGUACCUGAAGUGCGUAACCGCGAGGAGCGCCCUAGGGUAAAACUGGUGACUGGGGCUAAGUCGUAACAAGGUAGCCGUACCGGAAGGUGCGGCUG
rnacentral:rRNA from 1 species